rnacentral:rRNA from 1 species
GAGUUUGAUCAUGGCUCAGAUUGAACGCUGGCGGCAGGCCUAACACAUGCAAGUCGAGCGGUAGCACAAGAGAGCUUGCUCUCUGGGUGACGAGCGGCGGACGGGUGAGUAAUGUCUGGGAAACUGCCUGAUGGCGGGGGAUAACUAGUGGAAACGGUAGCUAAUACCGCAUAACGUCGCAAGACCAAAGUGGGGGACCUUCGGGCCUCACGCCAUCAGAUGUGCCCAGGUGGGAUUAGCUGGUAGGUGGGGUAACGGCUCACCUAGGCGACGAUCCCUAGCUGGUCUGAGAGGAUGACCAGCCACACUGGAACUGAGACACGGUCCAGACUCCUACGGGAGGCAGCAGUGGGGAAUAUUGCACAAUGGGCGCAAGCCUGAUGCAGCCAUGCCGCGUGUGUGAAGAAGGCCUUCGGGUUGUAAAGCACUUUCAGCGAGGAGGAAGGGUAAUGUGUUAAUAAGACAUUGC